GGAAAGAGAAGGAGAGAGAAGGGAAAACAAAAUGGAGCCAAGGAGAGAAGAGAUACUUUUUAUUCUCCAAAGAGAAUGUGAGAUGGAGGAGAGGAAAUCUUAAUAAAUCUCAUUAUAUCCAUGUCUUAUACAUAGUUAUAGUUGGACAAUAUUGUCCCAAGACCACAUUAGAUACUAUACUUCCUAACACAACUAAUAUAUGAACUUGUAAUUCAUUGAAUAGCCUCUCUGGAUCCACUACAUAAGUAGUGGGAGGAGAAAAAGCGUGCUAUAAUCCCACUUUUGCUGUUGGUCUCUUAUUUAUUUCACCUCAAUGAGUAUUUGAGUGAAUUAUGUAUGGUCUUUGGAGCUGAAUAAUGUAAUAAUGGAUUGUACUACAUAAUACAUCAUUAUAGCCAGGGACCGCAAUCAUUGUGUAUAUCACUUGGAUAAUUGCCCUUCUUACACACACACACUGACUUUCGUUAAUAUUAUCUUCACCUAAUUAUUGUUUAUAUAAAGGAUGAAUUCAUUAGCAAAUACUUUAAUUAAUAAAGAGGAUAUUUUAUA
rnacentral:lncRNA from 1 species